CCCCACCUUUCCCGGCUGAAUCCCCUGCACACAGGCUUCUUUCUGUUUGGGCAUCUCUUGGGAGGACCCCAAGUGACACCAUCAUGUCCCAAAUACUUGUCACCAAAUGGUAAAGAUCCAAACAGCUUUUUCAGGGGAAUUAAGACUAGUCUGGGCACUCAGGGCUCCUCUGGCUCCUGGAAAAAGCCUCAUCUACAAAUCCACCGUGGACCGAGUCAAGAAAGACACAGCACAGGCACAACAGACAGGUCAAGGGCAGGACCAGGUGGAGGUGAUUGAAUCAUGGAGGUGGUUUCCCCCCUGCUGUUCUUGUGAUGAGGUGCCUGCUUGCCAUGAUUAUGUUUCCUGAGGCCUCCCCAGCCAUGUGGAACUGUGAGUUCAUUAAAC